UGGCUGUGCUGGGCCUUGAACCCCGGUCCUCCGAUGAACAACCCUUAACCAGUUGAGCCAACCAGAUUCACCCAAAGCUCAAGAGAUGGGUUGAUAAAGAGGAACUGAAACAACAAGGAACCUUGCCUGCCAUAUCCGGAAAGUCCGGGUAGCUGGUCCGAAACAAGGUGUACACUGAGGAACUGCAAAUGGAUCCGCAUUCGCCUGUGACUAACCGUGACACAAUCUCUAUGACUGUGUGAUCAACCUACUCUCAAGACCUAUAUCACUUUCUAUAUAUUAGCAUCUAUAUAUUAGCAAGUUAUGGUUAAUUACAUAGACACACUUUUAAGGUAAGGAUGCAUCAAGCUUCCUUGUCUGUUAUCUGCAGCAUUUUUAUUUAUAAUCCUAAUCUGAUCAAAUAAUGAGUAAAAGCACGGUAAAUAUGUUGUAAUAAGGUCAUGUGCUUUGCCUAACAAGUAUUUGUUAGAGAUUUGCUCAGGGACAUUCUGGGAAGGUCAUGAUCACCUAUACAGGCAACAUACCCCAGUUCCCUAAUCCAAGACAUUCAUCAUGUCAAAAACAUCCUACAAAUGUUUCUACAGAAUAACAUAAAAGUUAAAAAAAAAAAAAAGAAAAACCAUAAAUUUUCUCAAUUUUCUUUUUGUUAAAGACUGAUUUUUCAUCUGCAAUGUCAGCUCCAUAGCAGCUUUCACAUAACCUUUAAAGGGAGGAUCAAAUAAACUCUUGUCUAACCCCCAAGCAGAUCUUCCAUACUCUCCCAUCAGGCAAAUUCCUCCCAUUUCCAGUUCUACACAUAUCCAUUGUCUCAACUUGCAAUACAUUUCAUCAAAGAUCUGCCAUCCUUUGCAAAGCAAGACAUCCUACCAUACUAGCCAAAUAAAGAUUCUAGAAGUCCAACCAGCUCAUUACACGUCAUAUCCAAUAACCUUUAAAACAUUUGUUUCAACAUGUCUUUUAAUCCCAGACAACAUCAUAUCAGACAGGGGAAUAAAGGUCACAUACCAGGUCUGGAAAGCAUUUAUGGAGGCCGAAAUUCUCCAUACAAAGUUAAUUAAGACAAAGUAAAUAGACAAGUUAAUUUCAGCUUUUAUUUACUGUUGCAGAUUUCCAGUGUUUCAGUCAUUUACAUACACUUUGGUAGUAUUUGGUGGUAGUAUAUUGUACCUAUGUGGUAGUGGUUAAGGGGAGGAAUAAUGAUCAGAAUUUGUGAGUUUGAAUGCCAGGUCCACCAAGAUGCCUCUGCUGGGCUUCUGAGCAAGGCCCUCAAACCUCAAAUGCUCAGUUGAUAUUUAAUUGCUAAAACAUGAAUCAAGUGCCUUGGGUAGGCAUCCACAAACUUUUCAGAAUACUUUGCUGGAAGACUUCUUUCUCUUUUUCAGUGUAGUCCAAAAAUAUUUGAUAGGUUUCAGAUUUCCUUCAUCACGGAAGGUUUUGAAGGUUUUAAACAGCUAUGAAAAGUAGAUGCCCUAAUUGACCUGCCCAAAUAAAUGUAUGGUAACAUGAAAUGUUUGCAAAAACUGAGAUUAAACGUUUAGGUGUAUGUUAAACCUUAAGCCCAACUUUUAGAGUGUGAGUAGCUUGACCACUAUUUAUCAACUGGAGAAAAAUCAUGGACAAAUCAAGAAAUCAGUUAUUUAGUUUUGAGGAGAUGUCAAGGACAACCUUUCCUACACAAGAUCUCUUUGAUACCUGCAUCAUAUGUUUUCACUCAUACCAUUCAAACUGUCCAGUCCAAAAAAACCUCAGUUAGCAUCUGGAGUGUCUGCGACUCUUGUGUUUUAGACUCCGAUUUCUAUAAUCCCCUGAAGGCAACACUGUCACCUGAUCAUUUGUCACAAGAUCAAACUCUUAUCCCAAUCCCUUUUCCCUGUAAGGCUUUAAGUGGGCAAAUAAGCAGUUGUUGAGCAGAUUCAUUCAUGCCACUUUUAUUUAAACUAUUUUUUACUCCGAUGAUGCCAAAUAAUUACACUGAAUGAGAUACAACACAGUUUCAUAUCCUAACAAAUGGGGUUGUGAACUUGCAGAAUAUCUAUCUUCAUUAACAUAUUUUAUUUAAUUUAAAUUAUCUGACCACAUUGAGAAGUUUUGAUUUAUGUGUGGCUUAUCUGCAUUUUUAAGCUUGUGUUGGCUUUUGCCAAAUGUUCAGAAGGGACAUUUCAAGUAGCUUCUCUGUGCAAGAAGUGAUACUCCUAGCCAAGAGUUAAGAGUGCUUGGCUAGUAAAUAUAACUGCCAUUCAGUACAUUUCUUUUAAGUAUUGAAGAGAAACAUUAAAUAUUUGAAUUAGGGACAGAUAAAACUUCCUGAAUUUAUGUAAGAAAUCAAGUGUUGAUGUGGCAUUGAAGUAAAAAGGGUUUCCUGUU